rnacentral:misc_RNA from 1 species
AACGCACCUUGCACCUUUUGGUAUUCCAAAAGGUACACCUGUUUGAGUGUCAUGAAACCCUCUCAUUCUAAUUCUUUAUUUGAUAUAAGGAGUUGGUAUGGAUGUUGAGUGUUGCCGUCAUUGGCUCACUUUAAAUACAUAAGUACUUUUAUCUUGAAAAAUAAAUGGAGAAAUACUUGGUGUAAUAUUUAUGUUUCAUUAAGGAGUGUGGUUUAAUUACUACAGCCAUUUGUUUUGGAUAAAUAGCUUCCUAACCUUAUUAUAUUUAAACUUUAGACCUCAAAUCAGGUGGGACUACCCGCUGAACUUAA